rnacentral:lncRNA from 1 species
GGAGGAGCAGACUGUGACCUUAGCCCUUUUUCCAUGGCAUUACGUAGGAGGAAAUCAGAUUCCAGUUAGAGCAAGCCUGUGCGUCUGUCCUUGUGUGUGAAAAUGACAUCACAGUCUCCUUUCGCAGGCUUGCACCACAAGGGCAGUUUCCAGAAACAGUGGGACACUACAUCAGAGCUGAGGAAAGGCAGUGGAAGAUGUGUCUGCAAACGCAUGCCCUGAAUCCAGCAAGACUCCCUCAAUUCUGCAAGGAAUGUUCCGAGGACCAAGCCUGCACUGAGAUCACACAUGACAAUGACCACACAGAUCAUACAUGCUUCGGAGGAAAGUCCUGGUAGGUGAAUGUGUACCAGAGAAGAACCCAAGGCCAAAAGAAACCACAGAGAGGAAGAGGGGACCAUCCUCCAGCCCCGAUGAAGCCAGAAGGAAAGCAUCAUUGGACCUGGUGACAGGACCAUGACAGGAGCCACGGUUCCACGGAGGAAUGACUGAUGAUUCCACGGAGGAUUGCCUGAUGCUCAGAGCUGAGUAAGGCAUGCAUAUGACAAGCCUAGAGUGUCUGUG